GACGAACGCUGGCGGCAUGCCUAAUACAUGCAAGUCGAGCGAACAGAUGAAGUGCUUGCACUUCUGACGUUAGCGGCGAACGGGUGAGUAACACGUAAGGAAUCUACCUAUAAGCGGGGGAUAACAUUCGGAAACGGGUGCUAAUACCGCAUAAUAUCUUCUUCCGCAUGGAAGAAGAUUGAAAGACGGCUCUGCUGUCACUUAUAGAUGACCUUGCGGUGCAUUAGUUAGUUGGUGGGGUAAUGGCCUACCAAGACGAUGAUGCAUAGCCGACCUGGGAGGGUGAUCGGCCAAAUUGGGACUGAGACACGGCCCAAACUCCUACGGGAGGCAGCAGUAGGGAAUCUUCCGCAAUGGGCGAAAGCCUGACGGAGCAAUGCCGCGUGAGUGAAGAAGGCCUUCGGGUCGUAAAACUCUGUUAUAAGAGAAGAACAAAUUGUAGAGUAACUGCUACAGUCUUGACGGUAUCUUAUCAGAAAGCCACGGCUAACUACGUGCCAGCAGCCGCGGUAA
rnacentral:rRNA from 1 species